rnacentral:lncRNA from 1 species
UGUAAUUGCUCUUGUUUUUCUGUUAGGAACUAUCAAAAAGUUAUCAUUGAAAACACUUAAAAACUACUGCUUAAAACUAAAAUAUUAUUACAUAAAUAAACAUAUACUAAUUAAUUUAACAAAACAUAUCUAUUUACAAAAUAAUUCCGUUAAUAUUGUACGACUUUAAUAAUUAUCACAUUGCGUAGGUAGCCGUACCUACAUUCCACAGCCGAGCCGUUACUCUUCCGGUCGGAUGUUCGACACAAUCCUUCUGCCUUUGUAGCGAGAACACCUCGAUUACUCGUAUAUUUUUUAAAUACGUUUUUUUACUAAUUUUGUCUACGAUAUAAUAAUUUAUAGUGUUGUGUUAUCCCCAUUAAUUGGGGUUCACCCUUCGAGUUCAGCAACCGCAGGACCCACUACCGGUCCUGUACUUACCUGCACCGUUUCACCCUUCGA